GGAGGUGGAUGCCCAGGACGAGCUUUGAGGUGGAGAGAGGGAUGUCAUGGCUCAUCCUCCAGUUUCCAAGUAAAAACCUUCCGGCCAAUCUUGGCCGCGCGUCCUGGUGUAGCGAGCGGGCUUGGAGGAGCUCACCGCUGCUGUCAUGGUUCGUUUGCUAAACUGCAUCGUCGCUGUGUCUCAGAACAUGGGCAUCGGCAAGAACGGGGACCUGCCCUGACCGCCGCUCAGGAAUGAAUUUAGGUAUUUCCAGAGAAUGACACAAUCUCUUCAGUAGAAGGUAAACAGAAUCUGGUGAUUUUGUGUAGGAAGACCUGGUUCUCCAUUCCUGGGAAGAAUCGACCUUCAAAGGAUAGAAUUAAUUUAGUUCUCAGCAGAGAACUCAAGGAACCUCCACAACGAGCUCAUUUUCUUGCCAGAAGUCUGGUUGAGAUCUUAAAACUUACUUAACAACCAGAAUUAGCAAAUAGAGUAGACAUGAUUUGGAUAGUUGGUGGCAGUUCUGUUUAUAAGGAAGCCAUGAGUCGCCCAGGCCAUCUUAAACUAUUUGUGACAAAGAUCAUGCAGGACUUUGAAAGUGACACGUUUUUUCCAGAAAUUGAUUUGGAGAAAUAUAAAAUUCUGCCAGAAUAUCCAGGCGUUCUCUCGGAUGUAUUAAGUACAAAUUUCAAGUAUAUGAGAAGAAUGAUUAAUAUGAAGGUGUUUUCUGGUUUAUUUUAAGUUGUUCCCCCUCCCUCUGAAAAAAAGUUUAUAUUUUUACAUUAGAAAAAAAGACUUUUGUUGACUUUAGAUCUUUGGAUAAUUAUUUCUAAGCAACAUGUUUUUACUCCCCACUAAUCUUGACUAUAUCAGAUACCACUUAUGAAAUAUUCUUGCUAUAAUUAAGUGCCUCUCCAAGACCCUGACUGAGUCCCCAGCACCUGCUACAGUGAGCUGCCAUUCCACACCCAUCGCAUAUGGGACUCUUGCCAGUCCUUGACAUUGUCGGGCUUUUCAAAUGUUGGUAGUAUUUCUUAAAGAUGAAGAUGCACAUACCCUCCAACUGAGAAGUUUCACUAGUGGGAAAUACCGAAAGCUCCUUACGUGUAUACCCAGAGGUUUGCACGCAAAUGUUGCAGCCUUGUUUGUAACAGUGAAAAAUUGAAAACAACCUGGAAGUCCAGUGAUGGGAAAAUGAAUAUAUUUCUGUCUUUUGGGGAACCCAAAGCAGGUUCCAAGACUGCAAUUUCAGUGAAAGCAGUUUAUUUUCUAGGUCUUACCAGAAAUCAUCAAUUGAGGUACGGAGAAAUGGAACUGAGAAGAGUUUCGCUCUUGUUACCCUGACGGAGUGCAAUGGCACAACUUCAGCUCACUGCAACCUCUGACUUCCCAGGUUCAAAUGAUUCUCCUGCCUCAGGCUCCCAUGUAGCUGGGACUACAGGCACGUGCCACGACGCCUGGCUAAUUUUGUGUUUUUGGUGAAGACGGGGUUUCACAAUGUUGGUCAGGCUGGUCUCAAACUCCUGACCUAAAGUGAUCCGCCUGCCUCGGCCUCCCAAAGUGCUGGGAUUAUAGGCUUGAGCCACCCCAGAUCUUUAUUCUUUUUAUGUAGUAAAAAGUAUAAAGCCACGCAUGGUUUAUUUGAAAUAUUUUAUGUUUUAAAAAAAUACAGAAGCAGGAAAACCAAUUCUAAGUUCAAGUGAGGGAUGAUGGUAGUUUGAACCAAAGGGUUGCAUGUAGUAAGAAACUGUGAUUUAAGAUAUAUUUUAAAGUCAGAAGUAGCAGGAUAUUCUGAUGGAGUUUGCCCUGGGUUUGGGCCCACUGAGUUUGAGAUGCCUUUGAGAAAUGAAGAAAGUAGAGAGAGAAUAAAAGAAAAACUGGCCAGGCACAGUGGCUCAUGCCUGUAAUACAGUGGCUCAGCAUUUUGGGAGGCAGAGACAGGCAGAUACCUUGAGAUCAGCUUGGGCAACAUGGUGAAGCCCCAUCUCUACAAAAAAUACAAAAGUUAGCUGGGCAUUGUGGCGCACACCUGUAGUCCCAUCUACUCAGGGAGCUGAGAUGGAAGGAUCAAUUGAGCCUGCGAGUUCGAGGCUGCAGUGAGUUGUGAUUGUGCCACUGCACUCCAGCCUGGGUGACAGAAGAGACCUUGUCUCGAAAAAGAAGCUGAAAACAAUGGAACCAUGCCUUCAGAAUUCCAGAAAGAAAGUUAUUUUCAACGAAUAAAUCUAUAUUCAGCCAAAUAAUCAAGGGUGAAGAGACGAGGUUCUCACAAUGUUGUUCAAGCUGGUCUCCAACUCCUGAUCUCAAGCAAUCCUCUUGCCUUAGCGUCCUGAAUUGCUGGGAUUACAGGGGUGAGCUGUCAUGCCCAGCUUGUAAUGUACUGACACCUUCAAGAUUUCCUUCUCCAAGUGUGGACACAGCAGCAGACGCCCCUUGUCUCUUGGGUCAGGACACUGGGUAGAGUGGAAGAGCAAGACAACAAAGUCACUGCAGAAAGCAUACAUGUGGAAGAGGUCCAGCAGGGAGGGCCAGCUGUCCCAGGGACACCAUAUUUAGGGAUAACUCCUCUUUCUGGGCAGGACUGUUCUUUGAUUACUUUUAUAUUCACGAUAGUUCUGAAAUCGUAGGAUGAUGAUACUCAAGACUGGCUAGGAUUUGUUUUCAAAAAACCAUCUCCGAGACUUGUCGAUCUUUUGAAUGGUUUUUAGUGUCACAAUUUCCUUCAGAACUUAACUCAUUCUUAACAUUUCACAGACUACUUUCAGUUAAUAAUGUACUAGUGCCCAUAAAUAUAGAAAUAUUGCAACCAUUUAUCCUCUAUAAAAUGUCCAUCUUUUAUGGUAUAGAUAUUAUAUGUAAUAUAUCUAUAUAGGUUGUAAGUCCCACGAUAAAAAACUUUUUCUUAUCUUUAAACAGUUCUAUGUAUAUAAAGUAAGAAUAAAUGAGGAGAGCAAGAUAGCCUUUUGCACUUAGCUCAAUAUUUACCAUUUUUGAUCAUCUUCAUCUUUUUUGAUAAUCUCAUUUUCCACCUGGUAUCAUUUGCCUCUAGUCUGAAGAAUUUUCUUUACCAAUUGUAAUUGUACAGAUCUGCUGGUGACAAAUUCUUUUAAUUUUCUUUUACCUGAAAUAUCUCAUUUGCCUAUCCUUGAAGGACAUCUAUGCUGGAUAUAGAAUUCUUAGUUGAUCUUUUUGUCUUCCAGCACUUUAAAGAUGUUAUUCUACUUUCUUUUGUUUCUAUGGUUUC
ensembl:lncRNA novel transcript